ACCGACGAUGGCGAUUAUCAGGUAAAACUCCGCAGCCUGAUUCGCUUUCUGGAAGAUGGCGAUAAGGCCAAGAUCACACUGCGUUUCCGCGGUCGUGAGAUGGCCCACCAACAGAUUGGUAUGGAAGUGCUUAACCGCGUCCGUGACGAUCUGAGUGAACUGGCAGUAGUCGAAUCCUUCCCUACGAAGAUCGAAGGCCGCCAGAUGAUCAUGGUGCUCGCUCCUAAGAAGAAACAGUAAGGCCUUCAAGCAGCAAAAUCUGUGGAGCCUUCGGGUUUCAUAGGUUUUGUUCGCCUAUGUUUCGUUUAUUUAACAAUGCGAAGUGGAAGUUAUUAAGAUGCCAA
rnacentral:misc_RNA from 1 species